AACGAACGCUGGCGGCAUGCCUAACACAUGCAAGUCGAACGAGACCUUCGGGUCUAGUGGCGCACGGGUGCGUAACGCGUGGGAACCUGCCUUCAGGUUCGGAAUAACUCAGAGAAAUUUGAGCUAAUACCGGAGGAUGUCUUGGGACCAAAGAGUGGUCGCCUUUGGAGGGGCCCGCGUGGGAUUAGCCAGUCGGUGGGGUAAGGGCCUACCAAGGCGGCGAUCCAUAGCUGGUCUGAGAGGCUGAUCAGCCACACUGGCACCGAGGCACGGCCCAGACUCCUGCGGGGGGCAGCAGUGGGGAAUAUUGGGCAGGGGUCGAGAGCCUGAUCCAGCAAUGCCGCGUGAGUGAUGAAGGCCUUAGGGUUGUAAAGCUCUUUUACCCGAGAUGAUAAUGACAGUAGCGGGAGAAUAAGCUCCGGCUAACUCCGUG
rnacentral:rRNA from 1 species